GGAAGUUUUCAGAGAUGAGAAUGUGCCUUCGGGAACCGUGAGACAGGUGCUGCAUGGCUGUCGUCAGCUCGUGUUGUGAAAUGUUGGGUUAAGUCCCGCAACGAGCGCAACCCUUAUCCUUUGUUGCCAGCGGUCCGGCCGGGAACUCAAAGGAGACUGCCAGUGAUAAACUGGAGGAAGGUGGGGAUGACGUCAAGUCAUCAUGGCCCUUACGACCAGGGCUACACACGUGCUACAAUGGCGCAUACAAAGAGAAGCGACCUCGCGAGAGCAAGCGGACCUCAUAAAGUGCGUCGUAGUCCGGAUUGGAGUCUGCAACUCGACUCCAUGAAGUCGGAAUCGCUAGUAAUCGUGGAUCAGAAUGCCACGGUGAAUACGUUCCCGGGCCUUGUACACACCGCCCGUCACACCAUGGGAGUGGGUUGCAAAAGAAGUAGGUAGCUUAACCUUCGGGAGGGCGCUUACCACUUUGUGAUUCAUGACUGGGGUGAAGUCGUAACAAGGUAACCGUAGGGGAACCUGCGGUUGGAUCAC
rnacentral:rRNA from 1 species